GACGAACGCCUUCGGCGUGCUUAACACAUGCAAGUCGAACGGAAAGGCCCUGCUUUUGUGGGGUGCUCGAGUGGCGAACGGGUGAGUAACACGUGAGUAACCUGCCCUUGACUUUGGGAUAACUUCAGGAAACUGGGGCUAAUACCGGAUAGGAGCUCCUGCUGCAUGGUGGGGGUUGGAAAGUUUCGGCGGUUGGGGAUGGACUCGCGGCUUAUCAGCUUGUUGGUGGGGUAGUGGCUUACCAAGGCUUUGACGGGUAGCCGGCCUGAGAGGGUGACCGGCCACAUUGGGACUGAGAUACGGCCCAGACUCCUACGGGAGGCAGCAGUGGGGAAUAUUGCACAAUGGGCGGAAGCCUGAUGCAGCAACGCCGCGUGCGGGAUGACGGCCUUCGGGUUGUAAACCGCUUUCGCCUGUGACGAAGCGUGAGUGACGGUAAUGGGUAAAGAAGCACCGGCUAACUACGUGCCAGCAGCCGCGGUGAUACGUAGGGUGCGAGCGUUGUCCGGAUUUAUUGGGCGUAAAGGGCUCGUAGGUGGUUGAUCGCGUCGGAAGUGUAAUCUUGGGGCUUAACCCUGAGCGUGCUUUCGAUACGGGUUGACUUGAGGAAGGUAGGGAAGAAUGGAAUUCCUGGUGGAGCGGUGGAAUGCGCAGAUAUCAGGAGGAACACCAGUGGCGAAGGCGGUUCUCUGGGCCUUUCCUGACGCUGAGGAGCGAAAGCGUGGGGAGCGAACAGGCUUAGAUACCCUGGUAGUCCACGCUGUAAACGGUGGGUACUAGGUGUGGGGUCCAUUCCACGGGUUCCGUGCCGUAGCUAACGCUUUAAGUACCCCGCCUGGGGAGUACGGCCGCAAGGCUAAAACUCAAAGGAAUUGACGGGGCCCCGCACAAGCGGCGGAGCAUGCGGAUUAAUUCGAUGCAACGCGUAGAACCUUACCUGGGUUUGACAUGGAUCGGGAGUGCUCAGAGAUGGGUGUGCCUCUUUUGGGGUCGGUUCACAGGUGGUGCAUGCCUGUCGUCAGCUCGUGUCGUGAGAUGUUGGGUUAAGUCCCGCAACGAGCGCAACCCUUGUUCACUGUUGCCAGCACGUUAUGGUGGGGACUCAGUGGAGACCGCCGGGGUCAACUCGGAGGAAGGUGGGGAUGACGUCAAGUCCUCAUGCCCCUUAUGUCCAGGGCUUCACGCAUGCUACAAUGGCUGGUACAGAGAGUGGCGAGCCUGUGAGGGUGAGCGAAUCUCGGAAAGCCGGUCUCAGUUCGGAUUGGGGUCUGCAACUCGACCUCAUGAAGUCGGAGUCGCUAGUAAUCGCAGAUCAGCAACGCUGCGGUGAAUACGUUCCCGGGGCC
rnacentral:rRNA from 1 species